GGUGGUAUAAUUUAAUUAAAAUAUUACCUUGCAAAGGUAAAAUUGCCAUGUAGCUUCCACUU
rnacentral:tRNA from 1 species